UACGGGGGGGGCACGCGUUGUUCGGAAUUACUGGGCGUAAAGGGCUCGUAGGCGGCCAACUAAGUCGGCCGUGAAAUCCCCAGGCUCAACCUGGGAACUGCGUCCGAUACUGGAUGGCUUGAAUCCGGGAGAGGGAUGCAGAAUUCCAGGUGUAGCGGUGAAAUGCAUAGAUAUCGAGAGGAACACCUGCGGCGAAGGCGGGUUGCUGGGCCGACACUGACGCUGAUGCGCGAAAGCCAGGGGAGCGAACGGG
rnacentral:rRNA from 1 species